AUACUCACCUGGCAGGGGAGAUACCGUGAUCACGGAGGUGGUUUUCCCAGGGCGAGGCUCACCCAUUGCACUUGGGGUGUGCUGACCCAAACUUGGGAGACUCGACUGCAUAAUUUGUGGUAAUGGGGGAGCUGCGUUCUCGAGCUCCCCUG
ensembl:snRNA LOC120098366 U1 spliceosomal RNA